CCUACGGGAGGCUGCAGUGGGGAAUAUUGCACAAUGGGCGCAAGCCUGAUGCAGCCAUGCCGCGUGUGUGAAGAAGGCCUUCGGGUUGUAAAGCACUUUCAGCGGGGAGGAAGGCGGUGAGGUUAAUAACCUCAUCGAUUGACGUUACCCGCAGAAGAAGCACCGGCUAACUCCGUGCCAGCAGUCGCGGUAAUACGGAGGGUGCAAGCGUUAAUCGGAAUUACUGGGCGUAAAGCGCACGCAGGCGGUCUGUCAAGUCGGAUGUGAAAUCCCCGGGCUCAACCUGGGAACUGCAUUCGAAACUGGCAGGCUAGAGUCUUGUAGAGGGGGGUAGAAUUCCAGGUGUAGCGGUGAAAUGCGUAGAGAUCUGGAGGAAUACCGGUGGCGAAGGCGGCCCCCUGGACAAAGACUGACGCUCAGGCGCGAAAGCGUGGGGAGCAAACAGGAUUAGAUACCCGAGUAGUC
rnacentral:rRNA from 1 species